CCUCCCCCUAUUUUCCCAUCACUYGUUCCUCCCCAAAAAAGUACAAUACAAACUUAAAAAAAACCMAAAAAAUUUCAAGUCUAUAAGAAAACGAUGUCAGAGGUUUGAGAUUUUUACUUAGUGAGAUUCACUCACGCACCAGAUUUU
rnacentral:misc_RNA from 2 species